rnacentral:lncRNA from 1 species
CUUAUUUUUAAUGUAAUGGUAUGAUUUGAUGAUACAUUAUGAAGAAACAUGUCAGCAUAGUUUACAGUAGUAGAAAGUUCAUUGGGGAACAUGCCCAAUCUACUGAAGUUCCAGAGUGAACAAGUAGGGGGCAUCUGUUAGAAAGCAUUAAUGAGGCCUUACUGAUCAGUUCCAUGUUUCUGUUACUAUUCCCCUUCUUGUCUGUGAGCAGGUUAUUGUACAGUGAGUACAUUACUGUGGUGGACUUUUGGUAUAGGAACCAAAGUGGCAUGUUAGCAGCACCAGACUGGACAUCGGACGUGAUGUCCGUCCCACCCUGACAGUCCUUCCCCCCUCCAGUGUGGAGCUGC